CCUAAUUUAAAAGUGUGUUUUUCUGACCUUAGGCUUUUAGCCCAGCUGCCAAGAGCAAAUGUUGUUCUCUUGCGAUACCUUUUUGGAGUGCUAUACAACAUUGAGCAACAUUCGUCAUCCAAUCAGAUGAAAGCUUAUAAUUUAUCCGUUUGUAUAGCCCCAUGCGUUCUUUACCCACCUGAUUCCGAAAGCUUGGAAUUGGAAGACAACAUGAUAAAAAAGACUCCGGUCGGAAGACUGUGAAAAGCCAUUUUUUCAGAGACAGGGCCUUUUGGUGGGGCUCCGGCACUUCCCAGCACACCCAGUGCACAGCCCCACCUUCCGCAAAGCCAGGACAGCUCUUUGGAGUUUCCCUCAUGGAUGUGUGUGAUAAAGACAACUUGCCCUUCCCAAUUCUGGGUAUGCUUUCCUUUAUUAAUGAAAAAGGGCCCCUCACAGAAGGCAUAUUCAGAAACUCAGCCAAUAUAAAAUCCUGCCAUGUCCUAAAGGAAAAACUGAAUUCUGGGGUCAAAGUGAACCCAUACAACGAAUCUGUU